rnacentral:rRNA from 1 species
AACGAACGCUGGCGGCAUGCCUAACACAUGCAAGUCGAACGAGACCUUCGGGUCUAGUGGCGCACGGGUGCGUAACACGUGGGAAUUUGCCUCGGGGUAUGGAAUAACUCAGGGAAACUUGAGCUAAUACCAUAUAAUGUCUUCGGACCAAAGAUUUAUCGCCCUGAGAUAAGCCCGCGUAGGAUUAGCUAGUUGGUGGGGUAAAGGCUCACCAAGGCGACGAUCCUUAGCUGGUCUGAGAGGAUGAUCAGCCACACUGGGACUGAGACACGGCCCAGACUCCUACGGGAGGCAGCAGUGGGGAAUAUUGGACAAUGGGCGAAAGCCUGAUCCAGCAAUGCCGCGUGAGUGAUGAAGGCCUUCGGGUUGUAAAGGCUCUUUACUUCGGGACGAUAAUGACGGUACCGAGAGAAUAAG